GGGGUGCUUACCAUGCAGUCGAACGAUGAAGCCCAGCUUGCUGGGUGGAUUAGUGGCGAACGGGUGAGUAACACGUGAGCAACCUGCCCCUGACUCUGGGAUAAGCGCUGGAAACGGCGUCUAAUACUGGAUACGAACAAGAAUCGCAUGGUUACUUGUUGGAAAGAUUUUUCGGUUGGGGAUGGGCUCGCGGCCUAUCAGCUUGUUGGUGAGGUAAUGGCUCACCAAGGCGUCGACGGGUAGCCGGCCUGAGAGGGUGACCGGCCACACUGGGACUGAGACACGGCCCAGACUCCUACGGGAGGCAGCAGUGGGGAAUAUUGCACAAUGGGCGCAAGCCUGAUGCAGCAACGCCGCGUGAGGGAUGACGGCCUUCGGGUUGUAAACCUCUUUUAGCAGGGAAGAAGCGAGAGUGACGGUACCUGCAGAAAAAGCACCGGCUAACUACGUGCCAGCAGCCGCGGUAAUACGUAGGGUGCAAGCGUUAUCCGGAAUUAUUGGGCGUAAAGAGCUCGUAGGCGGUUUGUCGCGUCUGCUGUGAAAUCUGGGGGCUCAACCCCCAGCCUGCAGUGGGUACGGGCAGACUAGAGUGCGGUAGGGGAGAUUGGAAUUCCUGGUGUAGCGGUGGAAUGCGCAGAUAUCAGGAGGAACACCGAUGGCGAAGGCAGAUCUCUGGGCCGUAACUGACGCUGAGGAGCGAAAGGGUGGGGAGCAAACAGGCUUAGAUACCCUGGUAGUCCACCCCGUAAACGUUGGGAACUAGUUGUGGGGUCCAUUCCACGGAUUCCGUGACGCAGCUAACGCAUUAAGUUCCCCGCCUGGGGAGUACGGCCGCAAGGCUAAAACUCAAAGGAAUUGACGGGGACCCGCACAAGCGGCGGAGCAUGCGGAUUAAUUCGAUGCAACGCGAAGAACCUUACCAAGGCUUGACAUAUACGAGAACGGGCCAGAAAUGGUCAACUCUUUGGACACUCGUAAACAGGUGGUGCAUGGUUGUCGUCAGCUCGUGUCGUGAGAUGUUGGGUUAAGUCCCGCAACGAGCGCAACCCUCGUUCUAUGUUGCCAGCACGUAAUGGUGGGAACUCAUGGGAUACUGCCGGGGUCAACUCGGAGGAAGGUGGGGAUGACGUCAAAUCAUCAUGCCCCUUAUGUCUUGGGCUUCACGCAUGCUACAAUGGCCGGUACAAUGGGCUGCAAUACCGUGAGGUGGAGCGAAUCCCAAAAAGCCGGUCCCAGUUCGGAUUGAGGUCUGCAACUCGACCUCAUGAAGUCGGAGUCGCUAGUAAUCGCAGAUCAGCAACGCUGCGGUGAAUACGUUCCCGGGUCUUGUACACACCGCCCGUCAAGUCAUGAAAGUCGGUAACACCUGAAGCCGGUGGCCUAACCCCUUGUGGGAGGGAGCUUCGAAGGGUAUC
rnacentral:rRNA from 1 species